rnacentral:misc_RNA from 1 species
AAGUCGUAACAAGGUUUCCGUAGGUGAACCUGCGGAAGGAUCAUUACAGAACAAAUUUGGUAGACUGUUGCUGGCUCUCUUGGGAGCAUAUGUGCACGUUUAUCAUUUUUAUAUUUCCACCUGUGCAUCUUUGUAGAUCUGGGAUUCAUUUAUGGCUUUUUAUUGCUGUGUUAGAAAGAACUGCUGCUAGGCUUUUCUUCAUAUCCCAGUUCUAUGUUCUUACAUUUACCCUGUGUAUGUUAAAGAAUGCUUCAUUAGGUCUUAAAAAAACCUAUAUAAACUAUAUACAACUUUCAGCAACGGAUCUCUUGGCUCUC